CUUGAUCUUGGCCAGCUCAUUCAAGCACCUAUGCGAUCUUGUGAAAUCCACGGAAAAUAUCACUAGCGCGAGCUCAGACUCUUCAAUCCUCGUCAAUAGGUUAGCCAUUUCUGAGCCCAAAAACUCGUUCUCAUCUAUGAAGACGUUUAUGUUCGCUUCUCUCAAGGCAGGGACAAGAAAGCUUAUGAAGUGUUUGCGGACAUCUGCUCCCCGGAAGCAUAUGAACACCUGAGGCCCCGUUGGGGUGGGUUUCACAACCGAGGAAGAAGAAG
rnacentral:lncRNA from 1 species